rfam:Ciona savignyi cont_22641, whole genome shotgun sequence.
GCCCGGUUAGCUCAGCCGGUAGAGCGUUGGAUUUUUAACCCAAGGUCAAGGGUUCAAGUCCCUUAUCGGGUU